rnacentral:tRNA from 1 species
GGCGGUGUAGCUCAGUUGGCUAGAGCGUACGGUUCAUACCCGUAAGGUCGGGGGUUCGAGGCCCUCCGCCGCUA